GUGCCACCACCAGUCUCCACCACUAUUCUGAGGCAGAAUGCACCUAUUGGCUCACAAUGCUGUGAAAGAAAACAAGAAAGUCGUGAUGAUAACAAUGCAGUGUCUUCAUUCAUAAUGGAUUGCAGUUCCCCACUCAGGAAGAGGACAUUUUUUUUAAAACUACAUGAUACAACUGAGAGCUUGGAAGCUAUCCAUGCAUAAGUUUUAAAACCCAGCAGCUUCAUGGUUUCCUCCUUCUGUUGGCCUGGCCAGUGGACACAGUGGUCACGUUCCUGGCAUGGAGAUGUCAUUCAUGGUCUCUCAGACCCAAGUGUUACCAGUGAAGGGUGUCCAGGUUCUUGGCGCUUUGAACAAAGAAUUGGACAAAACUCACAAACAAAGCAAGAAAAGAAAGAAGCAACAAAAGCAGAGAUGUAUUGAAAAUGAAAACACACUCCACAGGGUGGGAGCAGGCCGAGCAAGCAGCUCAAGGGCCCAGUUACAGAACUUUCUGGGGUUUAAAUACCCUUUAGAAGUUUCCAUUGGUUACUUGGUGUACACCCUAUGUAUAUGAAGUAGUGGCCUGUGAUCAGUCUGAUUGGUUGGAAGGGACCAAUCAGAAUGCAAACGUCUGAUUAGUUGUGGAAAGUGACCAAUUAGAGGCUGAAGUGAAGUUACAAAGUAAUACUCCCACGCAAAUGAAGACUUGGCCCACAACCAACCUGAUUGGUUGUGAGAGGGGACCAAUCAGAGGGACUUUCAGUUUUUCACCUGCAAUGCAGAAAAAGGGUGGCAGGUGAGGGGUGUUGCAAAGGGAGUAGCCUCUGGUCCUUUUGUUACUUGGGCACUUGGGCGUGGAAAGUGGGGGUUUUCCUUUUGAUUUAGUUCUAGGAAGUCAGCGUGAAUUGGCCUUACAUUCCCUGCCUCCAGACCCUAUUCUCCUGCCUCACAAGUGCUCCUAGGAGCUGUACAUGCCUGUCUUUGUCCCCAUGUAGUCAGCUCGUUACAGGUGGGUCCUGCUGGGUCUUUCGUUCUUGCUUCUCUGCUUCAAGAUGGCUAAUAAGUCCUGGUCCAGUGAGUCCCCAGUGCAGACAUAGAGCAGAAGGGAAGUGGGUCCAGUUGCAUUUCCUGCAGUUUAAUAAAGAACCCUGUGCUCUCUGGCCCAUUACCUAAAGCUGAUAUUGUGCUUGGAACGUGUAGUGUUAUCCAAUCCAGCUUUACCACUGCUAAAGCUGAUACCACGCUUUGAUCCUCUGCUUGCUCAUUUUGCCAAGUUCUUAACUGCGUGGAACUGGAAGGUGAGGGCUGGAUGAUUGAUUUUUCACCCUGCCCCCAAACUCCAACAACCGAAACCAAGGGUUCUUGAAGAGAGAGGGGCAGGGCAGCAACAGGGAGACUGAAACUUGGGGUGGGGGGGGGGCGGGGGGAGGGGGGCGGACGGAAUGUUUUUGAAGUGUGUGUUUGCCUAAGGUGUGUGUAGAAAGGUAGCUACUUUUCAGUCUCUGCCUGCCUUUAAUCCAUUACAAUGUCCUAAUUAAAAACAUUUAAAAAGCUACAUUGGAAAAUGAUCCCUGAGGCUAGAAUGCUGUUGGCACAGUGAAAAAGACGCAAUCAAUAAGUAAACAGGCAAUGUCAGCCCGGAGAGCUUUCAGAACAACAUGCCUACUCGGGGGAAAAAAAAUUACAAGUCGCUUUAGCCUAUUUAAAUAUUUUCCAAGAUCUUUGUUAAAUUUCAGGUAAUAAUAUUUCUUCCUUUGAACAAGCGUUGUAUGUUUGCCUUUGACUGAGAAUGGCCUAGGCUAGAGACCAUUUGGUAUUCAACUUGUGACUAUUUUAGUAUGGGGCUGGACCCCAAAAAUUCAUGCUCAAUGAAAUGAUUUUCACUUACUGAGAUGAAUUUACUUUUUGCUUCCUUCAGCAAUUCAUCAAUCUAAUGGAAGAAAGAGUAGCUAUCAUCAUAAUGAGAAUAGACUUCUACGAGUAUGAGUCAAUGUCAAUACUUUAUUUAAUAAUGCAAAUUCUAUUACUAUAUAUUUGGUCUCAAUCCAAAUUUGCUUUAAAUUGAGUUUCCUUGCCAUUGCACACUCCUAUCUUUCUGAACACACACCACCCCACACACACACCAUACACACUUGUUUCAUUGCGCUUCAUUUUAUUGCACUUCUCGAAGAAUGUGUUUUUUACAAAUUGAAGAUUUGUGGCAACUUUUCAUCGAGUGAGUCUAUUGGCAUCAUUUUUGCAAGAGCAUAUGCUCACUUCCUGCCUCUGUGACAGCAUUUUUUAGCAAUAACAUAUUUUUAAUGAAGGUAUGUACAUUGUUUUUUAGACAUAAUGCUAUUGCACACUUGACUAAAAUGUAGCCUAAGUAUAAUUUUUAUAUGCCAUGGGAAACUAAAAAAAGUGACUUACUUUAUUGUAAUAUUUGCUUUAUUACUUUGGUCUGGAACUGCCUCACACUAUCUCUGAAGUAUGCAUGUAUAGCUUUUCAUAACACAGAUAUCACAUUUGACCAGAUCCUAUUGUUACUGAACAAUGUUGAUGCUAACAUUGAUGAUAUCAAUCACUAUUACUGGAAUCAUUAUCAACAUAUCAAUAAAUAUUUUUAGAACAUUU
ensembl:lncRNA LINC01215 long intergenic non-protein coding RNA 1215